rnacentral:rRNA from 1 species
CACGUAGGGCGCAAGCGUUGGUCCGGAAUUAUUGGGCGUAAAGAGCUCGUAGGCGGUCUGUUGCGUCUGCUGUGAAAACUCGGGGCUUAACCCCGAGCCUGCAGUGGAUACGGGCAGACUAGAGGUAGGUAGGGGAGAAUGGAAUUCCCGGUGUAGCGGUGAAAUGCGCAGAUAUCGGGAGGAACACCGGUGGCGAAGGGCGGUUCUCUGGGCAACAACUGGACGCUGAGGAGCGAAAGCGUGGGGAGCGAACAGG